CCUACGGGUGGCAGCAGUGAGGAAUAUUGGUCAAUGGCCGAGAGGCUGAACCAGCCAAGUCGCGUGAGGGAAGACUGUCCUAUGGAUUGUAAACCUCUUUUGUCAGGGAGCAAAGUCACCCACGUGUGGGUGUUGGAGAGUACCUGGAGAAAAAGCCACCGCUAACGCCGUGCCCGCCGCCGCGGUAAUACGGAGGAUGCGCACGUUAUCCGGAUUUGUUGGGUUUAAAGGGUGCGUAGGCGGGUUAUCAAGUCAGCGGUAAAAUCGUGGAGCUCAACUCCAUCCAGCCGUUGAAACGGGUGAUCUUGAGUGGGCGAGAAGUAUGCGGAAUGCGUGGUGUAGCGGUGAAAUGCAUAGAUAUCACGCAGAACUCCGAUUGCGAAGGCAGCAUACCGGCGCCCGACUGACGCUGAAGCACGAAAGCGUGGGUAUCGAACAGGAUUAGAUACCCCUGUAGUC
rnacentral:rRNA from 1 species